GGAGGCACGAACUAAUUUCCAGGUUUCUUUCACAUAAACAUUGCAAUAAAAUAUUACCUUGAUGCCCACGAGUUAAUAUUCCCACCCCCACCACAGCACAAAGCAAGGACUUUUUCCUAAUGAUUGGGUGGGCAAGUGAGAGAAAAAGAGGCCUCGAAACAAACAUGGAGAUCUCGCGACUCCCGGAGCAAGCCACUCACCUUGUUAACACAUCAGGGUAUUGAGUGAAUUCAAAAACGCUUUCCAGCUCCUGUACCUGCAGCCCGCGUGAACCUUCUUGCGCUGGAUUGGUGGCUCCAAGUUCUCGGGCUGCGGAUCCUCCAUGCCGCCUGGGCCUGCUCCUCCCAGGGCCGCUGUGGCUCCACAGGCUCUUGGUUUCCACCGCCGCCCUCGUGAAUCAUGCCGCCAUCAUGGCUCACGCCGCCAUCAUGGCUCACACCGCUCUCGGGAUUCAAGUCGUCCUCGGGGUUCACGUCGUCCUCGGGUGUUCACGCCGCCCUCGGGGUUCAUAUUACCCAAGAGGCCUGGAGCUCCUUGGCCACCAUGGUCUUCCGCCCUUAGCUCAGGUGCGAUUCCUCCAGUGAUCUCAGUGAUUUAUCAGGAGAAAACGAGGAUGGCACAAUACUGUCCGAAUGUAAACAAGAAGCAGCUGCACGAGCAGCACCAACAAUGCCACGGUAGUGUGGCAGGCCUUGGCCCCAUGGACAAAGAGAAACUCGAUGGUGGCAGUGGCCACAAACUCAGAAAGCCUGAGGACAGUCAGCAGCUUCUCUGGCUCAUCACUUUCAUAUCGGUGCAACUACAGAGAGUAAGGCAUGGUCGUGCAAGUGGAUGGCCAAAUUCUGCCUUUAUUUUAAUAUUUGAUAAUUUGCUCGUAAUAUUUUCGAUUUUUCAGGAUAGUACAAAAAGUGUUAUUUUUCUGGAAUCCUGAGGAUUUUUUUGGGACCCUCACAUUUAGUAUGGCGGAAAAUCAUUCCUAAAGAAAGCCUCGAUCUGGAUAUUACAAAAUAGUGUACUUGGGGAGAGGUGUUGGGGGAAAAGUAUUUAAAAGCAAGCUUGAAAUCAACAUCAUGUAUGUUUCAUCCACAACUCUAAAUACUGAACAUCUGUGGUUUUCCCCUCAGAAAGGAACUUGUAAGAUGACUGAGCAUGACUGGAACCAGUGUGCAGGUCACUAUUUGGCAGGGCAGCCAUUCUAAAAUCUGCUUCAAGACUUAGAUACCUUUGCCCUAAAUAUUCUGAAGUUGGUGUGUUUUUGUUGCCUUUUCCAGGUUUGGGAAAUAAGUUCAAACUUUGAGUUUUUUGUGAAUAGAAAAUGGGAUAAGAAAACCCCGGCUUGUGGAAAUUUCCAUUAUUAGAGCAUACAUGAUUUCAAAAAAGACCAAAGAAAAUAGAACUGAACUAC
rnacentral:lncRNA from 1 species